rnacentral:rRNA from 1 species
GACGAACGCUGGCGGCGUGCCUAAUACAUGCAAGUUGAGCGCUGAAGGUUGGUACUUGUACCAACUGGAUGAGCAGCGAACGGGUGAGUAACGCGUGGGGAAUCUGCCUUUGAGCGGGGGACAACAUUUGGAAACGAAUGCUAAUACCGCAUAAAAACUUUAAACACAAGUUUUAAGUUUGAAAGAUGCAAUUGCAUCACUCAAAGAUGAUCCCGCGUUGUAUUAGCUAGUUGGUGAGGUAAAGGCUCACCAAGGCGAUGAUACAUAGCCGACCUGAGAGGGUGAUCGGCCACAUUGGGACUGAGACACGGCCCAAACUCCUACGGGAGGCAGCAGUAGGGAAUCUUCGGCAAUGGACGAAAGUCUGACCGAGCAACGCCGCGUGAGUGAAGAAGGGUUUCGGAUCGUAAAACUCUGUUGGUAGGGAAGAACGUUGGUGAGAGUGGAAAGCUCAUCAAGUGACGGUAACUACCCAGAAAGGGACGGCUAACUACGUG